AUACCUUUCUCGGCCUUUUGGCUAAGAUCAAGUGUAGUAUCUGUUCUUAUCAGUUUAAUAUCUGAUACGUGGGUUAUUAAUCCACAUGAUAUUAAAUUAAAUCUUUUUAGGGGAGAGCUCAUCAUAAUAGCUUGCUAUUAGAGUUCCUGGGCGUUGCUCAUGCGUUGCACUACAGCAUGGGCUUGGCGCAACCCAC
rnacentral:snRNA from 2 species